rnacentral:rRNA from 1 species
UUGAAAGGGAAACGAUUGAAGUCAGUCAUACCAACGGAAAUCAACCUCUUGAGCUCGGUCUCGUGGGUUUUGAAGAGUUUCAAAGCCUUCGGAUUCGCGAGAUUGGGAUCUCUUGGUGUACUUUUUCGUACGGUUAGUCAACAUCGGUUUUGUAUGUCAUAAAAUGACUGGAGGAAUGUAGCUUCGAUCUCGUAUUGAAGUGUUAUAGCCUUUGGUAGAUGUGAUGUUUGAGACCGAGGAUUGCAACGGAUACCCUUCAGGGCUAUUCGUCUGAUCUCUGAUACGUUGCCUUGAUGUUGAAAGCUCGCUUAUGAUGUUAGGGUAUUACGGUCAAAAGGUUAGAACGAAUUACAUUCGUUAAGGAUGUUGACGUA